rnacentral:rRNA from 1 species
GAAGAUCUAGUGGCGAACGGGUGAGGAACACGUGAGGAACCUGCCCCGAACUUUGGGAUAACAGUUGGAAACGACUGCUAAUACCGAAUGCCGUUACGAAGUGGCAUCACUUUGUAAUGAAAGAAUUUCGGUUCUGGAGGGCCUCGCGGCCUAUCAGCUAGUUGGUGGGGUAAUGGCCUACCAAGGCAUCGACGGGUAGCUGGUCUGAGAGGAUGAUCAGCCACACUGGGACUGAGACACGGCCCAGACUCCUACGGGAGGCAGCAGUGGGGAAUCUUGUGCAAUGGACGAAAGUCUGACACAGCCACGCCGCGUGCGGGAAGAAGGCCUUCGGGUUGUAAACCGCUUUCAGCAGGAACGAAAAUGACGGUACCUGCAGAAGAAGAUGCGGCCAACUACGUGCCAGCAGCCGCGGUGAUACGUAGGCAUCAAGCGUUGUCCGGAUUUAUUGGGCGUAAAGAGCUCGUAGGCGGUUCAGCAAGUCGGGUGUGAAAACUCUGGGCUUAACCCAGAGCCUGCACUCGAAACUGCUGUGACUAGAGUUCGGUAGGGGAGCAGGGAAUUCCUAGUGUAGCGGUGAAAUGCGCAGAUAUUAGGAGGAACACCAAUGGCGAAGGCACUGCUCUGGGCCGAUACUGACGCUGAGGAGCGAGAGCGUGGGUAGCAAACAGGAUUAGAUACCCUGGUAGUCCACGCCGUAAACGAUGGGCACUAGGUGUGGGUCUCUAACCAACGAGAUCUGCGCCGUCGCUAACGCAUUAAGUGCCCCGCC